GUAAAAUUAGUAGUGAUCGAUAUCGAAUUCAAUUCGGGAUCAUCAACAUAAUCUUCCCAUCCCAACUGUUCAGGUGCAGGGAGAGGGUGGACGGGAUACAAAGGUGAUGGAAACAGUUCUACUAAGACGAGCCAGCAUCAUGUCAACUGCUAUUGUUAACGAAAAUAUGCUUCAGCCGAUAGAGUUGUCAGCAGGAAACCGAAGACAGAGUUUUGAACCAACACAUCUCACAAGGAAAAGCAGUUACAAGCACAGCUCAAAACGACGGAGGUACAGUGUUCAGCAUUCAUAGAAGAUGUUUACAAGAACUAGCUUCCGGUUAACACAAGCUCCACUCAAGAAAGCAUCCGGCCGGAAAUCACAGCUUCCGGUUUUAAUGAUUCCUGGAUUUGGAUCUUACUUCACGGCUAAAAAUCUAAAACCGGUCGUUUGAAGCGCGCGCUAAAUUCAAUUAAAGAAAGAUUAGCAUUUCUACAAAGAACUCCAUACUCACCACAAAUUCCAAUUUUGUGAUCUUUAUAUUUUUGGAAUCUGAAGGUGAACAAACUUUUGGGUUUUAAACUUAGACUAUUUAACCCUAUUCCUGCUGGGGGGAGGGGGAGUCAAGCUGACCCCCUCCUGCAGCUUUUUUUACGUAACUUAAAAAGUAUUGGUAUUUGGCUGUUGACAUUUUAUGACUUUUCCUAAAGACCCAUAACCCUCCCUUUAGUUAUAAAACCAGGCUUUUAUACUAACUGCCUGAGUCCUCAGGCACACUGCCUGAAUGACCACUUUUUCCUGUAUGAAAAGUUAGCGAUAUCAGGUCCAAGGAUUUGGGGAUUAAAAAUUUUCAAUUUCAGGAGAUUGAUGUGAAAUAUUUAAAAAAAAACCUCUUUAUAUGUAUUAUAACAGAAAGUAGAAAAUUGUUUAUUCGAAUAUAUAUAUUUAUUAGGAUAUACAUGUUGUGUAAAUGUAUAGAUGUCUCUAUAAUUCUAUACCUCGGAAAAGGAUGUAAUUUAGCAAUUAGAUUAGAGGAUGAUAUUUGUAUUCAUAAUCCAGAAUCAGAUUAAUUAUUAAUAUAUCUAAAGCUCCAGGAAAAAGUAAUAUUUUCACAGAUAAGCAGGAACCGAAAAUUUGAUUUUAAGAUUAAAUAAUUAUGAUUAUAUAUCAUUAUAAGGAUGAAAAGUCCUAGGUCAACUGCCUGAAUUUCUUGCAAAAACUAAGUAAGAUAAAGCAUUAACACAUUGAAAAUAAAGACCCAUCUUCCCCCAGCAACUAGAGGCCAAAUGCAUUUAAGGUUAAUUACGAAAGUUGUGGAAAUGAAUGAUUUAAUGCAGGGGAAGCUUAAAGGGACUGUGAUUUCAAAAAGCUCUCCAUAAAAAAAGUGGCAAUGUCAUUUUUACAACAAUAAUCAUUAUAAAUUUAUCAAUUUUUUCCUAUCUCUCUAUUAAUGAAUGGUUACUUCAAAUUACGUCUCAAGUCCUUUUAGAGGGAGUGACUGCCUAAAAUAUUUCUUUACAAUACUGCACUGUAAGCUUAACUACCAUGUUCAGUCAUACACUCCCUUAAAGAACGGUGUGUUUGUAAACAUUCCUUAAAAAUUGCAAAACGUAAACACACAGUUGCAGUACAUUAAUGAACCUGAGCCCAGAUGUAAAUAGACAAUAAUGUUUGAGACUGUGUGUGUACUGUGUACGGCUUAGAGGGGUGGGGGCCGGGUCAAAAAAUUAAGCCCCCCAAAAAAAUCUUCUUUUUAUUUCAGACGAAAUUCAAAUUUGUCUCUCUAAAAAGCAUUUUGGAAAAUUUUGAAUUAUUUAACAAUUCCUGUAUUUAAUAAGAAUAUAUUUCGUUUAUCUAAAUCUAAGUGAGUUUUUCUUUUUAAACUUAGAAAUCAGCUCAAUAUAUAUAAUAUCUUAAACUUAAUAUGUAAUUGUGUAAUCAUAUAUUAAUGAAAAAUAAUGUGUUAAAUUUACUUGUCGCAUUUAAAUGUUAGUGCUAGAAAUGAUAAGUUAGGUUAAGCGUUAUUAUAAACAAAUAUAUCAAAGAAAUAAAAGAAUGCUCAUAUAUUAUUUAUUAAUUGGAUAUGUUUAAUUUAGGAUGUAGAAAAAAGCUCAAUUUAUUGUUUAACUCUCUAACAAAAACGCUAGAUAGUAGAUAUUUAAGUUAUUUAUAUA